AAAAGGCAAAAAAAAACUUUUAAAUGCAAACGUCAAUGGCAAAAGAAUCUGAAAAGAAUAUUUCAUAGAGAUAGAAAUAGAGUUUUAUCUAAACAAAUCCAGCUGUCAAAAACUAUCAUAAAGGAAACAAUAGCUCAAGAACAAGCUAAACAGUUUAAUGAAAGAUUGUCAAAAAUCAAGCCUGGUCCAUCUGCAUUCAAAGAAAUCUAUUCCAUAUCAGUGAAUGUGAAAUAGCUGAAUACUUCCAGGCUUGUUAUUCAUCAGCUUUUGACGAAACCAUCCCCCGGAAAGACCUGUCAAAGGAUAUAUGACUGUUCUUAUAAGCCUGCACUAUAAUUAUAAGAUUUUUUAUUUUGUUGUGUACGUAUUCAUCAAAUAAAUAAAUAAAUGAUCUGUAUUCAGAAGUUUCAUCAUACAUCACUGCAAUUCCAACCCACAUAUACUGAUUUAGUGGCAAUUUCAACUCCAGUGAAAAUCCAGGCAGGUACCACUUCACUGAUUCUAGAAAAACUACAUCUGUUAUUAAGGAUUUAAAUGGAAAAAAGACUAGUGGCUGCGGUGGAAUUUCUAAUUUUCUUCCAAAAAGAUUUCCAAAUUCUACAAUUCAGUUUCUUACCUGUAUAUACAACAAUUGUAAAAAUAAUAGACAUUUUCCGGCUGCUUGGAAAUGAGCCAACAUAAUCCCAAUUAAUUAUCAAGUGUCGGGAAAGUUUUUGAGCUUGUCCUAAAGGAAAAAUUAAAAAAUUAACUCACUAUUAACACUGUUUCUGAUUUUCAAUUUGGCUUUAAAAGGGAACAUUCCACCCAACAUCAAAUCUGUACUGUUGCCAUUUCCUUGGACAUCGAAAAAAGCAAUUAUCUAUCACAAAGCAAUUAUCUAUUAUAAACUGAUUGAUUUAAAUGUUGAUCCUUACGUUGUUAAAUUAUUCCACAGUGAAAAUAAAGAGCGCACUAUCCUCAUCUGGCAUGAUCAACAACGGAGUGCCGCAGGGGAGCGUCCUUGCGCGUCAAUCUGAAAUCAA